UUUUGGUUCAUUUCUUCUUCUCUCCUUGUCUCUCUCUCUCCCUCCCUCUCUCUCUCUCUGUAUGGGGCCGGUUUCCACAACAUUCUGCCGGUACAGAAUGCUCUGUAUUUCAGAAAAUUCUCUCGAAUAGCCCAAAUACCAUCAACUCUCUCUCAGUCUCUCACCCCACUCAACCCGCUUCUCGCCACUAUCUUCUGUCCUUUUCACUGUGUCAAAAUUCAGUAGAAACUUCCUUCUUUCUCUAGAGAAAGUCGCCGAAUAUUCAUCUCCACAAAAAUGGAGCAAAAACUUCUCAAGGACUUCGAACUCGACCCCAAGAACCGCUCGGAAGAGGCUUUGCAACGGUGGAGAUCCGCCGUGUCCAUCGUCAAAAACCCCCGCCGCCGGUUCCGCCACGUCGCCGAUUUAGCCAAACGCUCUGCGGCCGUUUUAAAACGUCGCAAAAUCCAGGAAAAUAUACGAGUUGCUAUUUACGUUCAUAAAGCAGCAUUGCUAUUUGAGGCUGCUGGUCGACCUGAAUACAAGUUACCGGAUGAGGAUAGAGAAGCAGGUUUUAGUAUUCACCCAGAUGAGCUUGCAUCAAUUGUUCGUGGCCAUGAUAUUAAGGGCUUGGGAAUCCAUCGUGGAGUUGAGGGGAUUGCAAGGAAAAUCUGUGUCUCACUGAACGAAGGUGUCAGCACAAAGGACUUACCUACUAGGCAAAAGAUUUAUGGAUUCAACAGUUUUACGGAGAAACCUUCCAGAACUUUUUUGAUGUUCGUGUGGGAAUCAUUACAUGACUUAACACUAAUCAUCCUUAUGGUCUGUGCCGUUGUUUCUAUAGGUGUAGGAAUUCCCACCGAAGGGUGGCCUAAAGGCUUAUACGAUGGUUUGGGUAUCAUUCUUAGUAUAGUCCUGGUGGUCAUGGUUACAGCUAUCAGUGACUACAAGCAGUCCUUGGAGUUCAAGGAUUUAGAUAGUGAGAAGAAAAAGAUUUUUAUUCAGGUAACUAGAGAUGGGAAGAGACAAAAAGUUUCUAUAUAUGAUUUGGUUGUUGGAGAUAUUGUCCACUUGUCAAUUGGUGAUCAAGUUCCAGCAGAUGGGAUUUAUAUAUCAGGAUACAGUUUGUUGAUUGAUGAAUCGAGCUUGUCAGGUGAGAGCGAGCCAGUGAAUGUAUAUGAGGAGAAACCUUUUCUUCUUUCAGGAACUAAAGUGCAAGAUGGUUCAGGAAAGAUGUUGGUGACAACAGUUGGUAUGAGAACUGAAUGGGGAAAGUUGAUGGAAACUCUGAAUGAGGGAGGAGAAGAUGAGACCCCACUGCAGGUAAAGCUAAAUGGUGUGGCUACAAUCAUUGGUAAAAUUGGCUUGACUUUUGCUGUGCUGACAUUUUUGAUAUUGCUAGGGAGAUAUCUGGUGGAAAAAGCUCUUAACAAUGAGUUCACAGAUUGGUCAUCAAGUGAUGCACUGACAAUUCUGAACUACUUUGCUACUGCAGUAACCAUUAUUGUCGUUGCUGUCCCAGAAGGAUUACCAUUAGCAGUGACUUUGAGCCUUGCUUUUGCUAUGAAGAAAUUAAUGGAAGAAAGGGCGCUUGUGAGGCAUCUCUCUGCAUGUGAGACAAUGGGUUCUGCUGGUUGCAUAUGCACAGAUAAGACAGGGACAUUGACCACAAACCAUAUGGCAGUGGUCAAAGUAUGGAUAUCUGAAAAAUCUAUAGAUAUAAAAGGUAAUGCAAGUGAUUUGUUGAAAUCAGAAAUAUCUGGAAGAGUUUUAGGCAUCCUACUGCAGGCUAUAUUUCAAAAUACUGGGUCUGAAGUGGUUAAGGAUGAUAGUGGAAAGAAUACCAUUUUGGGAACGCCAACAGAAUCUGCAUUGUUAGAAUUUGGCUUGCUUUUGGGUGGUGAUUUUGAUGCUCAGCGUAGAGAAUUCAAGAUUCUUAAGGUUGAGCCUUUUAAUUCAGUUAGGAAGAAGAUGUCUGUGCUUGUAGCUCUUCCCAAUGGAGGGGUACGUGCAUUUUGCAAAGGUGCAUCUGAAAUUAUAUUAAGAAUGUGCAACAAAAUUGUUGAUUGCAAUGGAGAGUCUGUUAAUCUUUCUGAAGAACAGGAAAAGGACAUCACAGAUGUUAUAAAUGGCUUUGCAUCUGGAGCUCUGAGAACUCUUUGCUUGGCUUUUAAAGAUAUUGAUGACACUUCCAUUGAGAAAAGCAUCCCUGAUAGUGGCUAUACAUUGAUAGCAGUUGUUGGAAUCAAGGAUCCUGUGCGCCCUGGGGUCAAGGAUGCAGUUUUAACUUGUCUAGCUGCUGGAAUUACUGUCCGUAUGGUCACUGGUGACAAUAUAUAUACUGCUAAGGCCAUUGCUGGAGAAUGUGGUAUCCUCACGGCGGAAGGAGUGGCCAUAGAAGGAUCAGAAUUUCGUAGUAUGUCCUCAGAGCAGAUGAAGAACAUUAUACCAAAAAUCCAGGUAAUGGCUCGGUCUUCACCGUCGGACAAGCAUACCUUGGUGACCCAUUUGAGGAAGAUGUUUAGUGAGGUUGUUGCAGUUACUGGCGAUGGGACCAAUGAUGCUCCUGCUUUGCAUGAAGCAGACAUUGGACUUGCUAUGGGCAUAGCAGGAACAGAGGUUGCAAAAGAAAAUGCUGAUGUCAUUAUUUUGGAUGACAACUUUACAACUAUUGUAAAUGUGGCCAAAUGGGGACGUGCAGUAUAUAUAAACAUUCAAAAAUUUGUGCAAUUCCAGCUAACAGUCAAUGUUGUUGCUCUGGCGCUCAAUUUUGCUACUGCAUGCAUCUCUGGAUCUGCUCCCUUAACGGCCGUGCAGUUGCUUUGGGUCAACAUGAUUAUGGACACUCUUGGUGCAUUGGCACUGGCUACAGAACCUCCAAAUGAGGGGCUAAUGAAAAGGCCCCCAGUUGGUAGGGGUGUGAGCUUCAUCACGAAGGCUAUGUGGAGGAAUAUUAUUGGUCAUAGUAUAUAUCAACUAGCUGUCCUUGCAGUUCUCUAUUUUGAUGGAAAGCGGCUACUAAACCUUAGUGGCUCAGAUGCAACUGAUGUUCUCAACACUUUGAUAUUCAACUCUUUUGUGUUUUGUCAGGUGUUUAACGAGAUAAACAGCCGGGACAUAGAGAAGAUAAAUGUAUUCCGUGGCAUGCUUAACAGCAGGAUAUUCCUAGGAGUCAUGGUUGGCACAGUGGUUUUCCAAGUAAUCAUAGUCGAGUUUCUGGGUGAUUUUGCAAGCACUGUACCACUGAGCUGGCAACUAUGGUUACUCAGCGUAUUACUUGGAUCAGUUAGCUUGCUGGUUGCUGUUAUCCUAAAAUGCAUCCCAGUUGAGAAAACCACAAGUACAACUAAUCACCAUGAUGGUUAUGAUGCGCUCCCCUCUGAUGAUAACCUGGCUUGAGAUGGGGAGGAGGCAUUUAUUUUUUUCCUUUUUCUGAAGCAACUCCACAGAGCGAAGCAUUUCUAUUUCAUUUGACCUUCAGAAACUGAUUUCUCACUGUGGAGACCAACAGAGCUUGAUGCUAUUGUUUUUUCAUGUCCCGGAAAGCCAAGGGGUGCUCUGAUGUCCACACCCGGAGUCUGGCAGCUUAGUAGCUUACAAUCCAUUUUGUGAAGAUUUAAGUAGAAAACAUUCGCUUGACCACAAACUCCAAUAUAAAAACUACGUAAAAUUUAAACAGGUAAAAAAAUUUAUUAAUCUAACUGAAAUUGAAAAAUCAUAAAUUUUUGGACUUGAUAAAAUUCUCAAACUGUGUACUUGUUUCUAAAGGCAGUUGAGUACAUUGCUGUAAACUUUAAUUGUGUCCCAAAAUUUUGUAUUUUUUUUUUUUAUGGCGUAAAUGCACUUUUGGUCCCUAUAUUUUAGGUCA